rnacentral:lncRNA from 1 species
CUAUUAGCAAGCCAUUAUAAGCUAACAGCAAGUAAAUUAAAUAGAUGUGAAGAGCCACAUUCUCAUUUGUUUGGUACUAGACAGAGCUCUGCAGGGAAAAGGUGUGCAAAGCUUGAAGAAGCCCUGGACUGUAUGCAAAGCUAAGUGGUUCGCCUGCUGAAUGUUUCUGUCUGGGACUGAUACAGCUGUUUGUAGAUCCUAGGUAACUGUCCCAAAUU